AACGAACGCUGGCGGCAUGCCUAACACAUGCAAGUCGAACGAGACCUUCGGGUCUAGUGGCGCACGGGUGCGUAACGCGUGGGAACCUGCCCUUAGGUUCGGAAUAACUCCCCGAAAGGGGUGCUAAUACCGGAUAAUGUCUUCGGACCAAAGAUUUAUCGCCUUUGGAUGGGCCCGCGUUGGAUUAGCUAGUUGGUAGGGUAAAAGCCUACCAAGGCGACGAUCCAUAGCUGGUCUGAGAGGAUGAUCAGCCACACUGGGACUGAGACACGGCCCAGACUCCUCCGGGAGGCAGCAGUGGGGAAUAUUGGACAAUGGGCGAAAGCCUGAUCCAGCAAGGCCGCGUGAGUGAUGAAGGCCUUAGGGUUGUAAAGCUCUUUUACCCGGGAUGAUAAUGACAGUACCGGGAGAAUAAGCUCCGGCUAACUCCGU
rnacentral:rRNA from 1 species